GGGAAUGUGGCUUAGUGGUAGAGUGCUUGCCUAGCAUGCAUGAAGGCCUGGGUUUGAUUCCCCAGGACCA
rfam:Dipodomys ordii contig_71509, whole genome shotgun sequence.